rnacentral:rRNA from 2 species
AGUCGACGCGUUGGCCCAAUUGAUUGAUGGUGCUUGCACCUGAUUGAUUUUGGUCGCCAACGAGUGGCGGACGGGUGAGUAACACGUAGGUAACCUGCCCAGAAGCGGGGGACAACAUUUGGAAACAGAUGCUAAUACCGCAUAACAACGUUGUUCGCAUGAACAACGCUUAAAAGAUGGCUUCUCGCUAUCACUUCUGGAUGGACCUGCGGUGCAUUAGCUUGUUGGUGGGGUAACGGCCUACCAAGGCGAUGAUGCAUAGCCGAGUUGAGAGACUGAUCGGCCACAAUGGGACUGAGACACGGCCCAUACUCCUACGGGAGGCAGCAGUAGGGAAUCUUCCACAAUGGGCGCAAGCCUGAUGGAGCAACACCGCGUGAGUGAAGAAGGGUUUCGGCUCGUAAAGCUCUGUUGUUAAAGAAGAACACGUAUGAGAGUAACUGUUCAUACGUUGACGGUAUUUAACCAGAAAGUCACGGCUAACUACGUGCCAGCAGCCGCGGUAAUACGUAGGUGGCAAGCGUUAUCCGGAUUUAUUGGGCGUAAAGAGAGUGCAGGCGGUUUUCUAAGUCUGAUGUGAAAGCCUUCGGCUUAACCGGAGAAGUGCAUCGGAAACUGGAUAACUUGAGUGCAGAAGAGGGUAGUGGAACUCCAUGUGUAGCGGUGGAAUGCGUAGAUAUAUGGAAGAACACCAGUGGCGAAGGCGGCUACCUGGUCUGCAACUGACGCUGAGACUCGAAAGCAUGGGUAGCGAACAGGAUUAGAUACCCUGGUAGUCCAUGCCGUAAACGAUGAGUGCUAGGUGUUGGAGGGUUUCCGCCCUUCAGUGCCGGAGCUAACGCAUUAAGCACUCCGCCUGGGGAGUACGACCGCAAGGUUGAAACUCAAAGGAAUUGACGGGGGCCCGCACAAGCGGUGGAGCAUGUGGUUUAAUUCGAAGCUACGCGAAGAACCUUACCAGGUCUUGACAUCUUGCGCCAACCCUAGAGAUAGGGCGUUUCCUUCGGGAACGCAAUGACAGGUGGUGCAUGGUCGUCGUCAGCUCGUGUCGUGAGAUGUUGGGUUAAGUCCCGCAACGAGCGCAACCCUUGUUACUAGUUGCCAGCAUUAAGUUGGGCACUCUAGUGAGACUGCCGGUGACAAACCGGAGGAAGGUGGGGACGACGUCAGAUCAUCAUGCCCCUUAUGACCUGGGCUACACACGUGCUACAAUGGACGGUACAACGAGUCGCGAACUCGCGAGGGCAAGCAAAUCUCUUAAAACCGUUC